CUUCAAUGGAACUGCUCCAUGGCUGAGGCAAACAGGGUUGGGCCAGAGCUGCACACAGGCUUCUGCUUCACCACGGAGGGCAGAAAGCUCAGCAUCAGCUGAGCUGCCCGUGCCCCUUUAGACCUCUGAGCACCCAAAUCCUGCAGGAAAAAAGAUGAGCCUAUACAUGGUACAGCUGAGUGCACCUGACUGAGACCAAAGAGCUGCCAGUGGCUUGGUUGUAAUGCCAUACAUACAGUUCUCAGGUGCAACAUGAGAAAAAGGAAGAGAUUUUCUCAGCAGCAGGAACACCAGAAAAUUCUCUCUGCCAAUACCAGCAAAGUAUAUUCUGCUUUAGUUCAUCUUCAGUUCACACUAGAACAACACCAAGGUUACGACAACACUGACUUGCAAAAACCUUUUGGCUAUUCAGACCCGGCAGGAUUAUCCAUUGGCCAGUAUGUGACCACCUGUCCAUAGGUAUAUCUUCAGGGAAUCCAUUCCACCAGAUCUGGAAAAGAAAAUAAAUAACUGAAAGAAAUGUAAAGGUUGAUAAUUCUUCACCCUUUGAGUGGAAUUCACUGUACUUCAUAUAUCAAACACAGCUGGAGUGGAAACAGUGAUGAAAGACAGGCAGCAGAUGACAGAAGCAGGUGGACACUGUCAACAGUAGAUACUGAAACUGUGUGGUUUGAAGAAAGAGGGAAGAUGGAUGGAUAAAACAGGAAGAUAAGAGUGUUAAAGGAAACAAAAGAUAAAACCCAAGGACAAACACAGGAAAAUAAGUAGAUCAUGACAUGCUGAA